GCAGAACGCGAAGAACCUUACCAACCCUUGACAUUACAGGACAUCCCCAGAGAUGGGGCUUUCACUUCGGUGACCUGUGGACAGGUGCUGCAUGGCUGUCGUCAGCUCGUGUCGUGAGAUGUUCGGUUAAGUCCGGCAACGAGCGCAACCCACACUUUCAGUUGCCAGCAUUCAGUUGGGCACUCUGGAAGAACUGCCGAUGAUAAGUCGGAGGAAGGUGUGGAUGACGUCAAGUCCUCAUGGCCCUUACGGGUUGGGCUACACACGGUGCUACAAUGGUGGUGACAGUGGGUUAAAUCCCCAAAAGCCAUCUCAGUUCGGAUUGGGGUCUGCAACUCGACCCCAUGAAGUUGGAAUCGCUAGUAAUCGCGGAACAGCAUGCCGCGGUGAAUACGUUCCCGGGGUCUUGUACACA
rnacentral:rRNA from 1 species